rnacentral:rRNA from 1 species
GGAAUAUUGCACAAUGGGCGCAAGCCUGAUGCAGCAACGCCGCGAGAGUGAAGAAGUAUUUCGGUAUGUAAAGCUCUAUCGGCAGGGAAGAAAGGCCCGAAAGGGAGAUGACGGUACCUGACUAAGAAGCCCCGUCUAACUACGUGCCAGCAGCCGCGGUAAUACGUAGGGGGCAAGCGUUAUCCGGAUUUAUUGGGCGUAAAGCGAGCGCAGGCGGUUUGAUAAGUCUGAUGUGAAAGCCUUUGGCUUAACCAAAGAAGUGCAUCGGAAACUGUCAGACUUGAGUGCAGAAGAGGACAGUGGAACUCCAUGUGUAGCGGUGGAAUGCGUAGAUAUAUGGAAGAACACCAGUGGCGAAGGCGGCUGUCUGGUCUGCAACUGACGCUGAGGCUCGAAAGCAUGGGUAGCGAACA